UACGUAGGAUCCGAGCGUUGUCCGGAUUUACUGGGUGUAAAGGGCGUGUAGGUGGAUUUUUAAGUCGGUGGUGAAAUCUUGCAGCUCAACUGCAAAACUGCCAUUGAUACUGGGAAUCUUGAGUACGGCAGAGGGAGAUGGAAUUCAUGGUGUAGCGGUGAAAUGUGUAGAUAUCAUGAAGAACACCGGUAGCGAAGGCGGUCUCCUGGUCCGUAACUGACACUGAGGCGCGAAAGCGUGGGGAGCAAACAGG
rnacentral:rRNA from 1 species